UAAGAAAGCAAGGAUGAUAGCUUGGCAUAACAACUACAAAAAUUGAAUCAACUAGAGUGAGUGAGUAGAUUAUUUUCAGGGAUUUCAAGUCUUUCAACAUACUGCUGGAUGACCAAUGGAAUGCUAAGCUGUCAGACUUUGGGCUGGCCAUAUUGGGGCC
rnacentral:pre_miRNA from 1 species